CAUGUCCUUUAGUUUAUGAUUUAAGGUUUGACCUGCUCAGUGAGUUUUUAAAUUGCCGCAGUAUUUUGACUGUGCAAAGGUAGCAUAAUAAUUAGUCUCUUAAUUAGGGGCUUGAAUGAAUGGUUGGACGAAUUAGUAUCUGUCUCUAUUUGAAUUUCUGUGAAUUUUAUUUUUAAGUUAAAAAGCUUAAAUUUUUUUAAAAGACGAGAAGACCCUAUAGAGUUUUAUAUUUAAUUUUUAAUUUAGAUUUAGAAUAUGAGUUAAUUUUAUCUAUUUGGUUGGGGUGACUUGGAGAUUUGAAUAAUUCUUUAUUUUUAUAAUGAUGAUAGUUGAAUUUAGUAUCUAGAGUUUUUAAAUUUAAAAUAAAUUACCUUAGGGAUAACAGCGUAAUUUUUCUUUAGAGUUCUUAUUGAAAGAAGAGUUUGCGACCUCGAUGUUGGAUUAAAAUAAAUUUUAGGUGUAGGGGCUUAAUAAUUGGGUCUGUUCGACCUUUAAAAUUUUACAUGAUCUGAGUUUAGACCGGCGUGAGCCAGGUUAGAUUCUAUCUUUAAUGUUUUAAUAUACUUUAGUACGAAAGGACCAUGUAUGUGUUAUAUUAAUUG
rnacentral:rRNA from 1 species